UAUGUGUGUAUAUGUAUGUAUAAAUAUUACAUAGACAAACAAAAAUAUUGUUAUUUCUGAAGUACAAUGAUGAUGUUCAUGUUAAAAGUUUGAGUGUAAAUUAAUCUCCAGCCCUGUAACCAACUCCAACUCCAAACUCCUCUUCUCAACAAAGGGCUAUGCUGGGGAAGGCUAAACAGCUGUGUGAUUGAGAACAUCUCCCAUUCCCUCCUGCCCUCAGCCAUGUACUUUUAAUCAAUUUUGAAAUAAGACUGUAGUAUGAGUUAGUGUAUUGCCUUGUCUUCUUGACAUAUUCUUUCUUGUUCAACUGGCAUCCCUUUGUGGUCUGAAACAGCAGACUCUCUUCUAUAACUGCAUUCCUUACUGUUAUUUUUAAUUAUGUUUCCAUUUGGUCCACAAAUAUUUAUCAAGGACCUACUUUGUGCAUACCAAGAUGAGAAAGACAUCUCCGUCAUCUUUGGCUUCCUGAGAGGUCGGCUUCCUGAGAGGUAGGCAUGCACAUCUCAGCCAUUGGAAGAGGAUGAAGAGGAGAUCAGGGCACCAUCUCCCUCUCAGGCAAUUGUGAGAAAAGUAAUUUUAUUUUCAUUCUUAAAAGGACUUCAUGCAUGAGAUUGCCACUUCACAGAGAAUUUAUCAAACAUGGACAAACUUAUUUUUAAUCAUCAUGUUGAAAGAGAAAUGGAAACGCUGGGAGGUUUGUCCAAGGUCACAGAUCAAGUGAUCUAUACAUAGCCAACCAACCACAGGGCACCCAAAAUGUUCUUACUCAAAAGACUUAAUAGCUUCUACCAAAAAUAACUGCUUCAGUCAAAGAGAGAAGGAUAAUUGCUACUUCCACAGACAACAUAAGAAACCAGACUCAUUUCAGCCCAGAAAGCAACAUUAAAUGACCACCCACACACCCCAUCACAUAUUUAUCUCCUCCAGCUGCAAGACCCUCUUCUCUUCGGCUUCUCACUGACCUAGAAAGAACUAAUGAAUAAGGUCUAAAACAGAUGCAAAGGCAGUCCACAUAAGAAGUAUACUGCUGCGGGUAGAAAUUACUUCAUCAGAUUUUUUUUGCUACUACCUCAAAGACCUAAAGCAGCACCUCAAAGAAACGAGAAAUUUCAUGAGUAAGGGAAGGAAAGGAACCGGGAGAUCAGAAAACACCAGGAUGAAAGUUGAACUGAUGAAUGCUCCAAGAUGUACAGCAUUUGUACUGAUUCUACAUUGAUCUUUUUCUGCAUUGGGUCUGACUUAAGGGAAUCUGACAGCACUGGGCCAAAAAAUGAGUAACAUUUAUUAGUCCCUUGGUUACUGAACAAGCAGAGACAAAGUCAGGGUUUUGGUAAAGGAAUGUGGACCCAUGCCACAAAGCAAAGAAAAUUCAGCUCACUGAGUCUGACUACCUCGAGGCUUCUAUCACUGUGGGCAAGUGUUGAAAGACUUGUCAUAUUGGGAAAUAAAGUCCUUGUCCAAAUGACCCGAUGAAUCACUUCCUUCCUUUUUGGCCAGUGUGGUCUGUUCAUGGGUCACUGAAGACAGAAGUCAAGGAAUCACUGUGUUUUAGGACAGAUGUGCUGAUCUAAAUUUUAGAUCCUAAAAUAUGCUAUGUUGGCUCAGCGGCAUUGCCUGGUAACAAAGACAAUUACAAUGAGGAUUUAUUUAUUC